rnacentral:rRNA from 1 species
AAUGAACGCUGGCGGCAGGCCUAACACAUGCAAGUCGAACGGAUCCUUCGGGAUUAGUGGCGGACGGGUGAGUAACGCGUGGGAACAUACCCUUUGGUACGGAAUAGCCUCGGGAAACUGGGAGUAAUACCGUAUGUGGUCGAGAGACGAAAGAUUUAUCGCCAAAGGAUUGGCCCGCGUUGGAUUAGGUAGUUGGUGGGGUAAUGGCCUACCAAGCCGACGAUCCAUAGCUGGUUUGAGAGGACGAGCAGCCACACUGGGACUGAGACACGGCCCAGACUCCUACGGGAGGCAGCAGUGGGGAAUCUUAGACAAUGGGGGAAACCCUGAUCUAGCCAUGCCGCGUGAUCGAUGAAGGCCUUAGGGUUGUAAAGAUCUUUCAGGUGGGAAGAUAAUGACUGUACCACCAGAAGAAGCCCCGGCUAACUCCGUGCCAGCCGCCGCGGUAA